GCCCAGGUGGUGGAAUUGGUAGACGCGCUGGCUUCAGGUGCCAGUACUCGCAAGGGUGUGAAGGUUCGAGUCCUUUCCUGGGCA
rnacentral:tRNA from 1 species